AAGAUCACCGCCAUUGCAGUCCAGCCUGGGUGACAGAGCAAGACUCCAUCUCAAAAAAAAGACUAAAGAAUGAGAGAAGGGAUAUCAUUGUGCUGUUUUCUCCACAGAGAUCCCAUUUCAUUCUGAAGGCCGGCAUCCCCGUUCCUUAAUGGGCAAGAAUUUCCGCUCCUACCUGCUGGAUCUGCGAAACACUAGUACGCCUUUCAAGGGUGUACGCAAAGCCCUCAUUGAUACCCUUUUGGAUGGCUAUGAGACAGCCCGCUAUGGGACAGGGGUAAGCCAGUUUUUUCUUCAGGGCACUAAAGAGAUCCUUCAGACUGAGAGAUCCUCACUCUUCCUUUCUCUUUCCUAAGGUCUUUGGCCAGAAUGAGUACCUACGCUAUCAGGAGGCCCUGAGUGAGCUGGCCACUGCGGUUAAAGCACGAAUUGGGAGCUCUCAGCGACACCACCAGUCAGCAGCCAAAGACCUAACUCAGUCCCCUGAGGUCUCCCCAACAACCAUUCAGGUGACAUACCUCCCC
rnacentral:sRNA from 1 species